AUACGUAGGGAGCGAGCGUUGUCCGGAAUUACUGGGCGUAAAGGGCGCGUAGGCAGCGCUUCAAGUCGUCUGUCAAAUGGGAGGGCUUAACCCUUUUUCGCAGACGAAACUGGAGAGCUUGAGAAGCAGAGAGGCAAACAGAAUUCCUGGUGUAGCGGUGAAAUGCGUAGAUAUCAGGAAGAAUACCAGUGGCGAAGGCGGUUUGCUGGCUGCAUACUGACGCUGAAGCGCGAAAGCCAGGGGAGCGAACGGGAUUAGAUACCCCGGUAGUCCUGGCAGUAAACGAUGUAUGCUGGGUGUGAGACUAGCGAUAGUUUCGUGCUGAAGUUAACGCGAUAAGCAUACCGCCUGGGGAGUACGGUCGCAAGAUUGAAACUCAAAGGAAUUGACGGGG
rnacentral:rRNA from 1 species